AUUGAACGCUGGCGGCAUGCUUUACACAUGCAAGUCGAACGGUAACAGGUUAAGCUGACGAGUGGCGAACGGGUGAGUAAUGCAUCGGAACGUGCCCGAUCGUGGGGGAUAACACUUCGAAAGAAGUACUAAUACCGCAUACGAUCUGAGGAUGAAAGCGGGGGACCGUAAGGCCUCGCGCUAUCGGAGCGGCCGAUGGCAGCUUAGGUAGUUGGUGGGGUAAAGGCUCACCAAGCCGACGAUCUGUAGCUGGUCUGAGAGGACGCCCAGCCACACUGGGACUGAGACACGGCCCAGACUCCUACGGGAGGCAGCAGUGGGGAAUUUUGGACAAUGGGCGCAAGCCUGAUCCAGCAAUGCCGCGUGCAGGAAGAAGGCCUUCGGGUUGUAAACUGCUUUUGUACGGAGCGAAAAGGCUCUCUCUAAUACAGGGGGCUCAUGACGGUACCGUAAGAAUAAGCACCGGCUAACUACGUGCCAGCAGCCGCCGUAACAC
rnacentral:rRNA from 1 species